rnacentral:rRNA from 1 species
GUCUACUGCCAUGCUACCCUGAACAAGCCCGAUCCCAUCUGAUCUUGGAAGCUAAGCAGGGUCAGGCCUGGUUAGUACUUAGAUGGGAGACCACCUGGGAAAACCAGGUGCUGUAGAUG